CAAGUGCAGAGACAUGGAGAAAUUACAGCUGUGGAAUUUGCACGAAUCACAUGAAACCAGCAUGAGAGUCAGCACCUCCAAGUCUGAGGUGCCUCUGUGUGGGAUGAGUAUUUUAGGAUCUUGCCUGUGUAGAUUCUCAGUAAUCCAGGCCAUGGUAAUCCCAGGAGCUUUCGUAGAAAGCAACUGGACUCCUCUUCAGUUUCUUCAAAGAACCUAAAAGAGCAUCCUUCCAGGAUCUUCAAGUUCCACAACCAGGCAGGCUUUGAGAAAAUUGCCCAGAAAAUUCAUUACUAUGGACUUCUCUCUUAGGUUCUUGAAAGAACCUAAAACCUACUGAAGCUCCUAGGAUUUGGGGAUGUUGUUCAAGAAAAUGGAGCGUGAAAUAGACAGACAGAUUGGUGAAGCAUCAGCAGUGAUGCAGCCGUUGUGCCAGGCUGUGGUGAAGAUGGAGCUGAACCGGGAGGCACAGCUCUCCAUUUACCCGUCGGUCGGUGUUCCUCUUCUUUCAAAACCUGAACAGCAAAUUAGCACGUUAGCAGUACUUUUCUAUUUAUGCCUCAGACAAACUAGAGCAGGGGUAGCCAACACGGUGCCCGCAGGCGCCUGGUUGCCUGCAGAGACCACGUGAGUGACACAUGUUCUAAAAAUAACACUAGUCACCAUGAAAUUCUUUAUAAAAAAAUAUAGUUGCUGUUCUUUUUGAAUCGAAAAUACUUAUAUUAAUGCAGAUUUUAAAUUACAAUAUUUAUUAUAUAUUUUUUUAAAAACAAAAAUGUCUUUGGUGUAAAUGAACUUUCACCUUGUCCGAGUCAGAGUUCACUGCGCAUGUCAAACCACCACGUCACUCUGCUGAAGCUUCCGGACGCAGCCACUUUGGGAAGCUAGAUGUGGUUUUUACCCCCAAAACAUGACAGAGAAGUGAAAGAGAAAACACUAUUUUCACGAUGACUGGGAGGAAGAGUUAUUUUUCACGACAGUGAAAGACAAAUGUAUGUGUCCUAUUUGCGGGGCGACUAUUGCGUCCGCCAAGCGGCACAAUGUGGAGAGACGCUACUUUAGCCACCACAAAGCUUCCAUGCUAACUAGCCAUGCUAACUAGCCACCUGGUAGCGCACAUAGACUGUUUGCGCACUAUGGACAGGAAAAUCCCGUUACUUAAAGGCAGCUUUGACAUCUACUACGCGGCGAAAAGUUUCUUCGUGGAGAAAAAUGUACCAUCAGAAAGGCUUGUUUUACUGACGACAGACGGGGCUCCUCCAUGACGGGUCGGCAUGCAGGCUUCAUUGUACUAUGCAGAGGUGAUCCAGACUUCCCAACAUCCCUACAUUACCACUGCAGCAUUCACCAGCAGGACAUAUGUAUGUACAAAAAUGACUGGAUUUGAUCAUGUGAUGACUCCUGUCGUGAAGAUCAUAAAUGGCUCCAAAGCCAAACAACCAGGACAUUGAAGGUGCUGCUGGAGGAGCUGUUAGCUGAACAUGGUGACCUGUUAUUACACACAGAAACCCCAUGGAUCAGCAGGGGACCAGUUUUGCAGCGUUUUUUGUCACUGUUGGCCGAAAUCAAAGAGUUGAUGCAAUCCAAAGGGGAAGACACCUCGCUGUUUGAGGACACUGAGUGGAUUCUUGUCCUUGCAUUUUUAACGGACAUCACUGAGAAACUGAACCAUCUGAACUGUGAGCUGCAAAGUAAAGGCUACAGACAGAAGGGUUUCAUAUUAUCUCAGGGCUUAUCACUGAGAAUAAUAUGUGAUUUUAGCUGCUGUGAAGAGCUGUGAAGAUGUAUUGAAAAUGUUCAGAGGGAGAUGAUGUCACAUCUGGUCCAGCUGAUGGAAGGUCUUGAAGUUCUCUGCAUGGCCUCGACUGAAGAUGGUCGUCUCACUGGAUUUAAGGUUCAGAUGCUCAGUAAUAAACUCCACCAAUGAGCCAACAGGGAAGCUUUAGGUUUAUUAAAUGUUGCUAUGAAGGUUUUGCUGUGUUUCUUUGUGAAUGCGAUGUGCUCCAACUGAAACUUGAAUUAGAACUUAGAAGUAAAUCCUUCCAUCUGAAAGGAUUUAGUUGCAUUAAUAACCUCAUAACAUUCUAAUUUUUAUUCCAGUCUUGGUUGGAAAUAGAAUCUCUGUAUUGAUUCAGGUAAAAACUGAACUUCACAGCAUGUUGCAGCAAAACAACCAGAUGAAAACUGUGAUGGUGUUGGAUUGUCAGACCGUAAUGUUGCAGCUCAAAGCAGCUUUUCUAUCUCAGUUCAUUCUGACAUUCAGCUAUGAAUCAACACAGCAGAUGGUGAUCCAUGCUGUGGAAGUCUCACAUCUCCUGAUUUAAUGGAGCUGCUUUGCACUUUUUACACUGUUUAUUCACCAACACUUUAUUUAAUAAAAGUCCCAUCUAGUUUUUAUGAGGAAUGUGAUGUUUUAAUUUCUCUGUGAAUAACUGCAGUCUUAUGUAACAGCUGGAGUUGUAACAUCUGUCCUGAUAUUGAUCAUGAAGUAUUGAUCAGAAUAAUUAUGGUCAGCAGUCAUCCCUGAAGUUUUACAUUCAAAUCUUUACUUGUGUUGUGAACUUUGGUAAGAAGCAGAAACGUUAGCGUUGCCAUGGAUACAUGAGUGUUAAAUUCUGUCCAUGUUUCCAUUUUGGGAAAUUCAGUCCAGUUCCAGAAUGUGGAGGAAUUUAGUCUCACAAUCACAGACAACAAAUAUUAUCUGAAAGUCGGUUUAUUAUUGUUGUUUAUCAGCACAAUACAAAAAGAUUAAUGUUAGAAAUAUUCCAGUUAAGACUCUGGAAUAUCAUGAUUUAUGUAAAUUUACCUCAAUAAUAUGAAUGUUCAGGUUAAGAUUGUACAGUGAUAUUUAUUAUGCAAGUUUAGCUGAUUAAAGUUUAUGAUUCUGCACUAAAAUAUUAUUUAAAUUGACAUCAUUAUUAUAAUAUUUAGGGUCAGACCCUACAGUAUUGAGAUUAAGAAAUCAAAUAUUCUAUAAAAUGUAAAUACACUGAACUCAUUUAGAUAUAUUUA
ensembl:lncRNA